rnacentral:rRNA from 1 species
UACGGAAGGCAGCAGUGGGGAAUAUUGCACAAUGGGCGCAAGCCUGAUGCAGCCAUGCCGCGUGUAUGAAGAAGGCCUUCGGGUUGUAAAGUACUUUCAGUCGUGAGGAAGGUGUUAAGGUUAAUAACCUUAGCAAUUGACGUUAGCGACAGAAGAAGCACCGGCUAACUCCGUGCCAGCAGCCGCGGUAAUACGGAGGGUGCGAGCGUUAAUCGGAAUUACUGGGCGUAAAGGGCACGCAGGCGGUUAAUUAAGUUGGAUGUGAAAUCCCCGGGCUUAACCUGGGAAUGGCAUUCAAGACUGGUUAGCUAGAGUCUUGUAGAGGGGGUAGAAUUCCAUGUAUAGCGGUGAAAUGCGUAGAGAUGUGGAGGAAUACCGGUGGCGAAGGCGGCCCCUGGACAAAGACUGACGCUCAUGUGCGAAAGCGUGGGGAGCAAAC